GGGUUGUGAGGUUAAGCGACUAAGCGUACACGGUGGAUGCCCUGGCAGUCAGAGGCGAUGAAGGACGUGCUAAUCUGCGAUAAGCGUCGGUGAGGUGAUAUGAACCGUUAUAACCGGCGAUUUCCGAAUGGGGAAACCCAGUGUGUUUCGACACACUAUCAUUAACUGAAUCCAUAGGUUAAUGAGGCGAACCGGGGGAACUGAAACAUCUAAGUACCCCGAGGAAAAGAAAUCAACCGAGAUUCCCCCAGUAGCGGCGAGCGAACGGGGAGGAGCCCAGAGCCUGAAUCAGUGUGUGUGUUAGUGGAAGCGUCUGGAAAGGCGCGCGAUACAGGGUGACAGCCCCGUACACAAAAAUGCACAUAUUGUGAGCUCGAUGAGUAGGGCGGGACACGUGGUAUCCUGUCUGAAUAUGGGGGGACCAUCCUCCAAGGCUAAAUACUCCUGACUGACCGAUAGUGAACCAGUACCGUGAGGGAAAGGCGAAAAGAACCCCGGCGAGGGGAGUGAAAAAGAACCUGAAACCGUGUACGUACAAGCAGUGGGAGCCUCUUAAUGGGGUGACUGCGUACCUUUUGUAUAAUGGGUCAGCGACUUAUAUUCUGUAGCAAGGUUAACCGAAUAGGGGAGCCGAAGGGAAACCGAGUCUUAACUGGGCGUUAAGUUGCAGGGUAUAGACCCGAAACCCGGUGAUCUAGCCAUGGGCAGGUUGAAGGUUGGGUAACACUAACUGGAGGACCGAACCGACUAAUGUUGAAAAAUUAGCGGAUGACUUGUGGCUGGGGGUGAAAGGCCAAUCAAACCGGGAGAUAGCUGGUUCUCCCCGAAAGCUAUUUAGGUAGCGCCUCGUGAAUUCAUCUCCGGGGGUAGAGCACUGUUUCGGCAAGGGGGUCAUCCCGACUUACCAACCCGAUGCAAACUGCGAAUACCGGAGAAUGUUAUCACGGGAGACACACGGCGGGUGCUAACGUCCGUCGUGAAGAGGGAAACAACCCAGACCGCCAGCUAAGGUCCCAAAGUCAUGGUUAAGUGGGAAACGAUGUGGAAGGCCCAGACAGCCAGGAUGUUGGCUUAGAAGCAGCCAUCAUUUAAAGAAAGCGUAAUAGCUCACUGGUCGAGUCGGCCUGCGCGGAAGAUGUAACGGGGCUAAACCAUGCACCGAAGCUGCGGCAGCGACACUAUGUGUUGUUGGGUAGGGGAGCGUUCUGUAAGCCUGUGAAGGUGGCCUGUGAGGGUUGCUGGAGGUAUCAGAAGUGCGAAUGCUGACAUAAGUAACGAUAAAGCGGGUGAAAAGCCCGCUCGCCGGAAGACCAAGGGUUCCUGUCCAACGUUAAUCGGGGCAGGGUGAGUCGACCCCUAAGGCGAGGCCGAAAGGCGUAGUCGAUGGGAAACAGGUUAAUAUUCCUGUACUUGGUGUUACUGCGAAGGGGGACGGAGAAGGCUAUGUUGGCCGGGCGACGGUUGUCCCGGUUUAAGCGUGUAGGCUGGUUUUCCAGGCAAAUCCGGAAAAUCAAGGCUGAGGCGUGAUGACGAGGCACUACGGUGCUGAAGCGACAAAUGCCCUGCUUCCAGGAAAAGCCUCUAAGCAUCAGGUAACAUCAAAUCGUACCCCAAACCGACACAGGUGGUCAGGUAGAGAAUACCAAGGCGCUUGAGAGAACUCGGGUGAAGGAACUAGGCAAAAUGGUGCCGUAACUUCGGGAGAAGGCACGCUGAUAUGUAGGUGAAGCGACUUGCUCGUGGAGCUGAAAUCAGUCGAAGAUACCAGCUGGCUGCAACUGUUUAUUAAAAACACAGCACUGUGCAAACACGAAAGUGGACGUAUACGGUGUGACGCCUGCCCGGUGCCGGAAGGUUAAUUGAUGGGGUUAGCGGUAACGCGAAGCUCUUGAUCGAAGCCCCGGUAAACGGCGGCCGUAACUAUAACGGUCCUAAGGUAGCGAAAUUCCUUGUCGGGUAAGUUCCGACCUGCACGAAUGGCGUAAUGAUGGCCAGGCUGUCUCCACCCGAGACUCAGUGAAAUUGAACUCGCUGUGAAGAUGCAGUGUACCCGCGGCAAGACGGAAAGACCCCGUGAACCUUUACUAUAGCUUGACACUGAACAUUGAGCCUUGAUGUGUAGGAUAGGUGGGAGGCUUUGAAGUGUGGACGCCAGUCUGCAUGGAGCCGACCUUGAAAUACCACCCUUUAAUGUUUGAUGUUCUAACGUGGGCCCCUUACCGGGGUUGCGGACAGUGUCUGGUGGGUAGUUUGACUGGGGCGGUCUCCUCCUAAAGAGUAACGGAGGAGCACGAAGGUUGGCUAAUCCUGGUCGGACAUCAGGAGGUUAGUGCAAUGGCAUAAGCCAGCUUGACUGCGAGCGUGACGGCGCGAGCAGGUGCGAAAGCAGGUCAUAGUGAUCCGGUGGUUCUGAAUGGAAGGGCCAUCGCUCAACGGAUAAAAGGUACUCCGGGGAUAACAGGCUGAUACCGCCCAAGAGUUCAUAUCGACGGCGGUGUUUGGCACCUCGAUGUCGGCUCAUCACAUCCUGGGGCUGAAGUAGGUCCCAAGGGUAUGGCUGUUCGCCAUUUAAAGUGGUACGCGAGCUGGGUUUAGAACGUCGUGAGACAGUUCGGUCCCUAUCUGCCGUGGGCGCUGGAGAACUGAGGGGGGCUGCUCCUAGUACGAGAGGACCGGAGUGGACGCAUCACUGGUGUUCGGGUUGUCAUGCCAAUGGCACUGCCCGGUAGCUAAAUGCGGAAGAGAUAAGUGCUGAAAGCAUCUAAGCACGAAACUUGCCCCGAGAUGAGUUCUCCCUGACUCCUUGAGAGUCCUGAAGGAACGUUGAAGACGACGACGUUGAUAGGCCGGGUGUGUAAGCGCAGCGAUGCGUUGAGCUAACCGGUACUAAUGAACCGUGAGGCUUAACCUUACAACGCCGAAG
rnacentral:rRNA from 1 species